rnacentral:sRNA from 2 species
ACAAUAUUAUCCCGGCAAUCCACGUGUUGUAAAUUGUCGAAUAUUGGUUUUUACUUGACACCCCGUAACAGCUGAUGAAAAAAAAUGUCCAGAUACUGUCACCGGGUCCUUACCUUGCGCUGAAUGGCAACCAGUUCGUCGAAAUACAUAUGUCAAACUAAUAUAUUUCGGCUUUCAAGCAAGACACACCAAUGUUCUAAACGAUGGCUGAUUCUCUUUUCAAUCUAACAGGGAGCUACUGUGACAGGAGCCCACAAAGGAAUUGGCCAGGCUGAGGUGAUUACACUGGCAGAAGCCGGAGCUAGCCUUAUCCUGAUCAGAGUAGGCCGAAGCCUGUGCGGUUUGGAAUGCAUGGUUUGAAGCCGAUGCAAUUGACAAGCAAAUCGCAACGGAAGCCAUUGAGAAAACAGGCCGGAAAUGCUAUCCAGCUACCAGCGCAGCCUGGGCAAUCAACCCGCUGUAGUUGUCAUCAUUGAAGCGGUCACUGCUGAACGCAGCAAGCACUAGUGUCAAUGUCCUUGUGAACGCCGCAGGGAUUCAGCGCCGUUCUGAAGGCCAAAAAUUCCAUGAUCAUGCAUCCUACUCUCAUUGGACCAUUUAAGCUCUGUGAGGAUAUAGGCAAGUAUUAGAUUGAAAAUAAUAUGCAAGUUAUAGGUGGGUCGGGUUACAGUGUGUUUGAACCCAACCCUCACAAUAACCAGGUUAUAUGUGGAGGCGCAGUCACUCAGCCAUCAACAUCACUGUAUAUAAUCUGGUUAUUGCUGAUGUGUGUUCAAUUUCAUGUUUAUAUAUACAGGAUACUUGUAUUUAGUAAG